UCCCUGGAGGACUAGGGGUUAGGCCACAGCGCUCUCACCGCCACGGCCCGGGUUUGAUUCCCGGCCAGGGUA